rnacentral:rRNA from 1 species
CAGUAGCCGCGGGAAUACGUAGGGUGCGAGCGUUGUCCGGAAUUAUUGGGCGUAAAGAGCUCGUAGGCGGCUUGUCGAGUCGGAUGUGAAAGCCCGGGGCUUAACUCCGGGUCUGCAUUCGAUACGGGCAGGCUAGAGUGUGGUAGGGGAGAUCGGAAUUCCUGGUGUAGCGGUGAAAUGCGCAGAUAUCAGGAGGAACACCGGUGGCGAAGGCGGAUCUCUGGGCCAUUACUGACGCUGAGGAGCGAAAGCGUGGGGAGCGAACAGGAUUAGAUACCCCCGUAGUCCCUGUCUCUUAUAA